rnacentral:rRNA from 1 species
GACGAACGCUGGCGGCGUGGAUUAGGCAUGCAAGUCGAACGGUAUCAUCCUUUCGGGGGUGAGAGAGUGGCGAACUGGUGAGUAACACGUAGGUUAUCUACCCUCAAGACGGGGACAACCCAGGGAAACUUGGGCUAAUACCGGAUGUGAGCAACUUUUAGUUGUUUGAAAGGUGGCGUAAGCUGUCGCUUGGGGAUGAGCCUGCGUCCUAUUAGUUAGUUGGUGAGGUAACGGCUCACCUAGGCAAUGAUAGGUAGGCGGCCUUAACGGGUGGUCGCCCACACUGGGAUUGAGAUACGGCCCAGACUCCUACGGGAGGCAGCAGUCGAGAAUAGUCUACAAUGGUCGGAAGACUGAUAGUGCGACGCCGCGUGAACGAUGAAUCCCUUCGGGUGUAAAGUCUUUUAUAUGUGAGCAGUGCUUCUUAUAUUAACAGUAUGGGGAGAGAGAUAUUAGCAUAUGAAUAAGCAACGGCUAACUCCGUGCCAGCAGCCGCGGUAAUU